GACACAGUACUGAGGGCAGGUUCCACUCAGCCUGACCCCGCCUGGGCCCGCAGAGGCCUUCCCAUUGAUCGGCCCCGUCACGGUCAAUGCUCUCCACAGGCCUCGUACUGGGACCAUUCGUGGCUCUCUGCUUGCCUCUGUCUGGGGAAACAGGAAAGAAGUUGCCCACGGAGGGAGACCAGUGCCUGCCCCUGCUCCCUGCCGCCGCCAGCCCAGCCACACUGAGCAUGCUCCCAGCAAGAGCACCACUGUGGGAUCUACCAUAGCAACAGCUGAAUAACUGGAGAGAUGAACCGGUGGUCUACACUGUCGAUGUGGCGGACUUUGUGAUGGAAAAGCCUCAGAAGAAAAGUCCUUUUCUUUCUGAGACUAGAGUUGAGAAACAUGACUAGUAACCUCCGGCCAAGCAAUAUAUGUUGUA